GUUAACUUUUUCUUAUUAACUUAAGGCAUGAAACAGUUAGUAUAUGCACAUGAACCAAUCCCCUUCGACUCAUUACUCAAAUCAGUCAAUUAUAGUGCCCGUAUAACAUUUGGACACAUCAGAGAGGACGCCCAGUAUUGGAAACAAAAUUUAUGCUGCAGAAAAAAUCAAGACAUGAAGCAACGCAUUCAGAAAUUCCCUUCGACGUUACUCAAAUCACUCAAUUGUAGUGCCCGCAUAACAUUUGAACAAAUCAAAAGAGGAAGUAUCCUGACCACAUAUGACAAGCCAAUCCAGGGACACAGGGAUUCCCACCUACUCUAUCUAUCUACAAACAAAACUUUCCCUCUCCAGCACCAGAAUGGGAGUGGGGUAUGUUCUCGAUCACACACUAGUUCCUCCUAUGUAUCUUCCCCGCUGUGGUCAACUUGAGCUGCUUUACUGCAUUCUUCUUCAACUCAGCACAUCAGGGUCGAGAAUCUUAAUAGCCACCUGUUACAGAAACAUACAAGGGAAUCAAAUACUACAGCAUCGUCAUCUCAAAAGCCUCACUUUUCAUAGCAAAAUAACCUCAGUAAGUCAUAGCAUGGAUCGUUGACCACAUUAAAAGAUACGAAACAAAAUGCUAUGGUAAUACUAUACGGUAAAAGUUUUGAUUGCAAUGGUAAGCGUUUAGCAUAAACCCGUUUUUCCAUUGGUUAAAAACUGGAUUUCUCAUACAGCUGUGUGUCAUGUACUCAUGAACAAAUAUGUCUAUCCUAGAAUCCCCAUCAUUGAACAUGACUGCUAAAGCAUCAAACAUGACUGCAACCAUUUAACUGCAAGCAGCAGAUCACAUUACUUCUUGUUGAUGAAAUCUAUCAGGCUAACCAGAAAACUAGCCAAAAAAUGGAACGAAAUUGCUAAUGAGCCACAUCACAGAUCAAACAAAAAUGUUAUCUCUGUUUCAAGAAUUUCAGCCCAUGAAGUCACAUAUCAUCUAUUUGAAUAUGAUAUACGAACAGUCCUGACCUGCUACUGUACUACAACCAGUAGUCGUAUUGAUAUUGAAACUAUGACUGAACUUUGCGAUCGUAUCGAUCUUACAUCUUGGAAAUACUAUAUGGUAUCACCAAUCAAGGGCUGUCAUCAUUUAGUAGGCAAAAUGCAUUAUCCCAGAAUGACACUUUUUAUGGGAAAUUAUGAAUCAGCGAAAAAGGAACAGAACAAUUCAAGUAUUCAACAAACAAUAACCAUCUGAUCACUCUGUAACAUACUCGUACAAAGCAUGGAAGACUGAAACACGAACAGUCCUGACCUGCUGGUAGCUUCUUCUUCUUCUGCAGCAGAACAACGUCGUCGCAGUCAACAGGCACCCUUCUUCUACCAAUCACCUCCGAAGCCCUCAAAAUGUUCUGAGGCAAGAAAUCCUGCCCCACCGGCGAAAAGCCAUCUAGCUCCAGAAUGAGUAACCGCCUGGCGUGGCUCGGAGCAGCGGCCUGGCCGAGAUGAGACGCGGAGGAGAUCGACGCGGCGCCCUGGCCGAGAUGAGACGCGGAGGAGGUCGACGCGGCGCCCUGCCCGAGAUGAGACGCGGAGGAGGUCGACGCGGCGCCCUGCCCGAGAUGAGGCGCGGAGGAGGUCGACGCGGCGCCCUCGCCGAGAGGUGGCGCCGAGGAGGUCGAGGCCCCCAGGCGGAGAGGAGGGGCCGGACUGGAGAUCCCGAGCCCGAGAGCCGGCGCGGAGGAGAAGGAGGCGGCGGCGGACGCCUCAAGGGCCUUCCGCUUCUUUCUUGACGACACGCGGACGGGUUUGGCUUUCCGCUUGGCCUUGUCUCCGCGGGGG
rnacentral:lncRNA from 1 species